rnacentral:ncRNA from 1 species
UGGGUGGCUGCAUCGUCUGAUCAACGGUGGCGCACGGUUCUCAUCCGGCAAGUAAAUAUUUCUGACUUCGUUAUGCGCAAGCGCAGUCACAACCCCGAGCGGAGAUUUCCGCGGGGCUUGUGGUCUGUUUACUGCGCCCAUUUUGCCUUGCCCUU